AGAGUUUGAUCCUGGCUCAGGACGAACGCUGGCGGCGUGCUUAACACAUGCAAGUCGAACGGGGAUUAACUGCGGAAGGCUUCGGCCGGAAGGGAUUAAUUCGAGUGGCGGACGGGUGAGUAACGCGUGAGCAAUCUGUCCCAGACAGGGGGAUAACACUUGGAAACAGGUGCUAAUACCGCAUAAGACCACAGUAUCACAUGGUACAGAGGUAAAAGGAGAGAUCCGGUUUGGGGUGAGCUCGCGUCCGAUUAGCCAGUUGGCGGGGUAACGGCCCACCAAAGCGACGAUCGGUAGCCGGACUGAGAGGUUGAACGGCCACAUUGGAACUGAGAGACGGUCCAAACUCCUACGGGAGGCAGCAGUGGUGAAUAUUGGGCAAUGGGCGAAAGCCUGACCCAGCAACGCCGCGUGAGUGAAGAAGGCCUUCGGGUUGUAAAGCUCUGUUAUGAGGGACGAAGGAAGUGACGGUACCUCAUAAGGAAGCCCCGGCUAACUACGUGCCAGCAGCCGCGGUAAUACGUAGGGGGCGAGCGUUGUCCGGAAUGACUGGGCGUAAAGGGCGUGUAGGCGGACUGAUAAGUCUGGAGUGAAAGUCCAGCAUUUAAUGUUGGAAUUGCUUUGGAUACUGUUGGUCUAGAGUGCAGAAGAGGUAAGCGGAAUUCCCAGUGUAGCGGUGAAAUGCGUAGAGAUUGGGAGGAACACCAGUGGCGAAGGCGGCUUACUGGGCUGUAACUGACGCUGAGGCGCGAAAGCGUGGGGAGCGAACAGGAUUAGAUACCCUGGUAGUCCACGCGGUAAACGAUGAAUGCCAGGUGUUGCGGGUAUCGACCCCUGCAGUGCCGGAGUAAACACAAUAAGCAUUCCGCCUGGGGAGUACGGCCGCAAGGUUGAAACUCAAAGGAAUUGACGGGGGCCCGCACAAGCAGCGGAGCAUGUUGUUUAAUUCGAAGCAACGCGAAGAACCUUACCAGGUCUUGACAUCCGGUUAAGCCCAUAGAGAUAUGGGGUCUCUUCGGAGGAACCGAGACAGGUGGUGCAUGGUUGUCGUCAGCUCGUGUCGUGAGAUGUUGGGUUAAGUCCCGCAACGAGCGCAACCCUUAUGGUCAGUUACUAACGCGUGAUGGCGAGGACUCUGACAAGACUGCCGGGGACAACUCGGAGGAAGGUGGGGACGACGUCAAAUCACCAUGCCCCUUAUGACCUGGGCUACACACGUAAUACAAUGGCCGUUAACAACGAGGAGCAAACCCGCGAGGGGGAGCAAAACUUCAAAAACGGUCUCAGUUCGGAUUGCAGGCUGCAACUCGCCUGUAUGAAGUUGGAAUUGCUAGUAAUCGCGGAUCAGCAUGCCGCGGUGAAUACGUUCCCGGGCCUUGCACACACCGCCCGUCA
rnacentral:rRNA from 1 species